rnacentral:tRNA from 1 species
GAAGGUACAGCUCAGUGGUAGAGUGUGUGUUUAGUAUGCACGAGGCCCUGAGCUCAAUCCCAGUACCUCG